GACCAGAAUCCGUGCAACGGACGGCGGCUGAACCCCGUCAGGACCGGAAGGUAGCAGCGGUAAGCAUGUCAACCGUGUGCCGCGGUUCAUUCUGGUCACC
rnacentral:SRP_RNA from 1 species